GACGAACGCUGGCGGCGUGCUUAACACAUGCAAGUCGAACGGAAAGGCCCUGCUUUUGUGGGGUUCUCGAGUGGCGAACGGGUGAGUAACACGUGAGUAACCUGCCCUUGACUUUGGGAUAACUUCAGGAAACUGGGGCUAAUCCCGGAUAGGAGCUCCUGCUGCAUUGUGAGCGUUGGAUAGUUUCGGCGGUUGGGGAUGGACUCGCGGCUUAUCAGCUUGUUGGUGGGGUAGUGGCUUACCCAGGCUUUGACGGGUAGCCGGCCUGAGAGGGUGAACGGGCACAAUGGGACUGAGAGACGGCCCAGACUCCUACGGGAGGCAGUAGUGGGGAAUAUUGCACAAUGGGCGGAAGCCUGAUGCAGCAACGCCGCGUGCGGGAAGACGGCCUUCGGGGUGUAAACCGCUUUCGCCUGUGACGAAGCGUGAGUGACGGUAAUGAGUAAAGAAGCACCGGCUAACUACGUG
rnacentral:rRNA from 1 species